UACAGAGGUCUCAAGCGUUGUUCGGAUUCAUUGGGCGUAAAGGGUGCGUAGGUGGCGCCAUAAGUCAGGUGUGAAAUCUCGGGGCUUAACUCCGAAACUGCAUUUGAAACUGGCGGGCUUGAGUGUGGCAGAGGGGGGUGGAAUUCCGCGUGUAGCAGUGAAAUGCGUAGAGAUGCGGAGGAACACCGAUGGCGAAGGCAGCCCCCUGGGCCAACACUGACGCUCAGGCACGAAAGCGUGGGGAGCAAACAGG
rnacentral:rRNA from 1 species